CUGAUUUCAAGUCAACCACAUAACCACUCUGUCAUUUUCUUUAU
rnacentral:tRNA from 1 species